AUACUUAGGGUGCAAGCGUUAAUCGGAAUUACUGGGCGUAAAGCGCUCGUAGGCGGCUUGUUAAGUCGGAUGUGAAAUCCCCGGGCUCAACCUGGGAACUGCAUUCGAUACUGGCAGGCUAGAGUAUAGUAGAGGCAAGUAGAAUUCCGGGUGUAGCGGUGAAAUGCGUAGAUAUCCGGAGGAACAUCAGUGGCGAAGGCGACUUGCUGGACUAAUACUGACGCUGAGGAGCGAAAGCGUGGGGAGCAAACGGGAUUAGAAACCCCAGUAGUCC
rnacentral:rRNA from 1 species